GUACGCUGGCGGCACGCCUAACACAUGCAAGUCGAACGCAGUAGCAAUACUGAGUGGCAAACGGGUGAGUAUAAUGUGGGAAUCUGCCUUUUGGUUUGGAAUAACACGGGGAAACUUGUGCUAAUACCGAAUAAGCCUUUACAGGGAAAGUUUUAAUGCCGAAAGAUGAGCCCGCACUUGAUUAGCUAGUUGGUAAGGUAAAAGCUUACCAAGGCAACGAUCAAUAGCUGUUCUUAGAGGAAGACCAGCCACAUUGGGACUGAGACACGGCCCAGACUCCUACGGGAGGCAGCAGUGGGGAAUCUUGCACAAUGGGGGAAACCCUGAUGCAGCGAUGCCGCGUGAGUGAAGAAGGCCCUUGGGUUGUAAAACUCUUUCGUCGGGGAAGAAAAUGACUGUACCCGAAUAAGAAGGUCCGGCUA
rnacentral:rRNA from 1 species